rnacentral:lncRNA from 1 species
UGCAAAUGAAUUUUUAACUUAUUUUAUAAAUGAGUUUAUCUUUCUCAAUAUAGUUUGUUUCUAACAAAAAAUAUAUUAUGUUAGCAUUAAUGCAAUAGUUUGUAUACAAGAAGGCGAUUUUGUGUGUAAUAUGGCAACUUAUCCUGAAACUUACUGCAUUUUGCGUUCAAAUGACACUUUCAAAAAUCGUACUCAUAUUGAACAUCAUAAUGGUAAUUCUAUAUAAAAAAAGCUUUCUAUUGGUAUGAUAUCCCAAAUAGCAUUAGAUUACACGCAUCUUGUUUGUUUAGGUGUUAUAAAAUGAUUAUUACAAUUAUGGGUUAGAGGUAACAAAGAUAUUAGAUUACCAGCAGAAAAUAUUGAUACAAUUUCACGUUACUUAAUUGCUAUUAAGCCUUGUAUACCAUCAUACCAUUCGCAAGAAAACCUAAACAUUUACAUGAUAUUGACAGAUGAAAAGCGACAGAAUUUCGCCAUUUUUUACUGUAUACUGGCAUUGUCGUUUUGAAGUCUGUAAUAGCACCUACGAUUUAUAAUUAUUUUCUUUCUUUGAGUAUUGCUAUAAGAAUAUUAGUUGAUCCACAAUUAUGUAUAACAUUUCAUGCUUAUGCAAAUUCGUUAUUAUUAUGGUUUGUGUCAAACUAUGGAGAUAUUUAUGGUUUUGAGUAUCUGUCAUACAAUCUUCACAAUCUCAUUCAUCUUGCCAGUGAUGUUGGAACAUUUGAUUGUUCAGAAAACUUCAGCUGUUUUAAAUUUGAAAAUUAUAUGCAAAAAAUUAAACAGAUUUCAUGUAAAUCCGGAAAACUCUUACAAGAAUUGUCUAAUUGCGUAUUCGAAAAUUUAUAGAUUCCAAUUCAACAAUGUCGUAUGGAACGAUAUCCGAUCACUAUUUAUAAACAACGAUCAAUGAAAAAGGAUAUUUCUCACUUGCAAUUUAAAAUCUUUAAAAUUUUCAGUAACGAAAUUGACAAUUGUGUUUGUCAUAAUAAAUCUAUAGUUUUUGUUACACAUAUAUUUGAAAAGAAUGAUAUAAUAGUUCUUUGUGCACGUUUUUUAAAUACAAAAAUCAUUGUUUACUGUUCCAUUUGCCUCAGAAAAACUUGGUAUAUAUGUCAUAUCAAAUAGUACUACUUCAGAUAUUAUUCAACUUCCAAUAACACAAAUUGAGAAAAAAUGUUUAAAAAUCAAAAGUAAUAUCGAAGUUAAUUCAUAUGUGAUAAUACCUAUGUUACAUAGUAAUAAUUAGAUUAAUUAAAUGCAUAACAAUUUCAAGUACAAAUUUCUAACUGCAUAAUUGAUCACUUGCCUUUAUGAUAAAUAUUGUAUUCUUUGAUGUCAAAAGAAGGGAAAUGUUCAGAAGGUGAGGAAGAAAUAAUAUUUGUUUUUUAUUUAAUUUUUUUUAUUUAUGUUAUAUUAAGUUAUUAAUGUUUUUUAUUUUAUUUUUUUUUAAUGCAUUUUAAAACACAUUUAAUAAUAUGUAUAUUCCUUGAAGCAAUAUUUAUUGCACAAUAUCUUCAAAAAUUGUUUUGUUUUAUAUUUAAAGUUCAGAGGCAAUCCAUAUAAAUUAUUAUAUACAAAAAAAUGUCUAGUAUACAUACAAAAAGAUACGCAGUGGUCAAAUUUUUAUCGAAUUCAACAUUCUCAAAAGUCCCAACAAAUUGGAUUACAAAACAUAAUAAUGUUUAUCGUUGCUGGUGGCCACCACGAUCAUCAAACAAUGCAACAUUAAUUGCAAAUUGUGCAAAACCAAAGCAUGAUUUGUGGAACAAUUUUGAAAUAGAAGUUAUAAAAUAUCGCAGUAAGUAUUCUAUACUUAUUUUUUAUAAACUAGUUAUAUUUACUGAACUAUUUAUUUCAAAAUAAAAUUAAAAAUUAUUUACAUUUUAUUUUUAAAAACUUUUUUAUUUAAUUUUUAACGUUCACUUACUUAACCCUUAAUGUGAAGUUUAAAAGAUCCCAAGAAAGUUCAUCCUACACACUUUUGUAUAUACUGAUAUUAAUAAAAAAAUUUUUCUUUUAGAAAUAAAUAAUUAAAUAUACUUGUAUAUACUUUGUAAAAGUCGUUCGUAUUUUUAUUCCAAAAUUGACACUUUAAUUCUCAAAAUAAAAUGUCUUACUUAAAACGGACAAUUGAAUCAUUUUUGUCCUUAAAGCAUAAUAUCUGAAGAAUAUCUCAUUAAAUUUAUAGCUUACAAUAUUAAAAAUUGUAAAAUUUAUAAAUUUUUUAAUAAUAAUUUUAGUAAUAAGUCGUUUUUUUUUCAGUUUCUUCGCUUCUCAAUUUUUUUCUUCAUACUUGACAUCAAGUUUCAAAAAUCUAUUACAUUUUAAAAAAGGAUACUCGAAAAUCAUCCAAUAUUUUUUUCAAGUUAAAACAAUAUUACAGUUUAUUACAGUCAGCAGUUAAGUGGUUGAGGUUGUUUAUACCCCACUGUAAACGUUAUGAGAUUUUUAAAAAGUGUGAACGUUAACAGUUAAAAUAUUUUUUGCGAUAGCUCACAAAUAUGCAAGCGAUGCAUAUAACAAUUAUAAAAUAUUCUUUUUCAUUACCUAUAUGCUUUGCGCGCUCUCUCUCUUUCUAAUUAAAAAAAUUGUUUUUAAUAUUUUUAUUAUACUCUCUUGAAUCUGCGCAAAGAAGAUUCGAAUUAUAGUACGACGGAUGAGGAACGAUCGGGUCGAGAAAAAAACCACAUUUUCCUUAUCAGCCCUAUAGUUCUGACGGUAAACUUGAAAAUGUAACCAUAAAAAAAAUCAGGAAUUGUGUAUAAUAUAAUAUGUUUUAUCAUAUUUUAUUUUUAUUAAAAUGAUAUGUAAUAUUUAAAUUUAAAUUUUAAUUGUAAUUUUUUACUAGUUUGAUUACAUUGAAGUAAGUAAUAUAAUAAUACUAAUUUACUUCAAUAAAAUUAAACUACAUAUAUGGUCAAAAAUUAAAUUAAAAUAGUCAAAAAUUAUAAUUCAAAUAAAGUUUAUUGCUAAUGUAUUAGUGAACGUCAUAUAAUAUAUUUAUUACUUUUUUUUACAGGAAAUCAAACUCAAACAAAAGAUCUUUCACUUCAUGCUACUAUGUCCUGACAAUUUGGGAUUUUAUAACAGUACAGAAGACGUACGAAAUAAUAGACCUAUAAUAGCACAAUGUAAUGAGAGUACAAGUCCACUAUAUUUUGUUACAGAAACAAAUUCACAACCAAUUGAGGACAAUAAUAUUAAUAUAUAAUAACCAUAAUUGAUGAUAAUAAUACAAGAUUCUGCUUCUCAGUCAACUCCUCGUCGUGCACAUCAAAACUACAAUUUUCAAGAGAACGUCAAAGAGAUAAAAUGUAUAAUGGCAAUAUUUAAUAUAACAUUAAAAAAUAAUAUUGAACAAUUAAAAAGCUUGAAGAAGCAAUCCGAAGCAAUGUAUUACAACAACCGAUGGAAAACAAUAGCUUUAUUGAGCAAUUUUUUUCUCUCAUGACAAUAGAAGAUAUAAAAAAUAUUGAAAAUAUUGUAAAGACUAAUGAAGAAGCAUUGACGCAAUUCGUAAGUUUAUAUUUGUAAUGUAUACAAUAAUGUUAAAUUUAAUAAUUGCAAUUUUUUCGUACCUUAUAAAAAAUAUUUGGUUAAAAAGUUAUGAAAAAAUUUAUAAAAAUACAUUCUAAAAACAAUGAUUUUUAUCGAUUUUGUUCUAAUUGAAUUAUAACAUCUAAACUGCAAUUUUCUAUCUAAAGUAGAGUUUUUAUAUGAGUUUAAACAAUUUUUUUACAUAUAAUUAAUGUAUUAUCUUUAUCUUAAAAUUUUAAUUCUAGUAUUAGUACAUAAAAUGUAUAAACAAACAAAAAAUAUUCUUUUACAGAAAAAAUUUGUAUCGAAAAUUGGUGGAAACAAUCCGAGCGAUAAUAUCCAGCGGAUUAUGAAAAAUAUUUUUACAAAUAAAUGUGCCAUAAGUUGUUUCUGGAAAGGAAAAAAGACAAUUUUCGCGUCUAUGAUUUAAAAUCAAUAAAAAUAAUAAAAGGAGAAAUUACUUCACGUCACAUAACAUUCACACAGGCAGAAUUAGAAAACAUUAUGGCAGAAUGGUUACGUUUCGCAAAAUAACGACAACAAAGAGACAAAAACAAGGAAAAUGUACCUGAAGAUAUAAUACAAGGAAAUUGUAUCUGACUUUUUAGACUGACAUUGUAAUUUACAAUUUAUAUUUCUGACUGACGUUAUGUCUUAACGAGUUUUAUUUCUAUCAAUUUCUCUUACUUUUUUCUUAUCUUACCUUGUUUUUUAUAUUUUUAAAAAUUAUUUUUAAAAUAUAUAUUUACUGAUAAUUACAUAUAUAAUGCAUGACGUUAAAAAAUAUUUA